UACGCGCCCGGAGCGCGCUCUCGGGUGGAAGCUGUCGUUCUUUACAAGGUGACGAGCGAAUUCGCGGGCAAACGGACGUCUCGCACGAAAUAAAAUUACGAGGGAUCGAGCGGCUUCUCCAACUUGAGGAACUCCGCUCCGGAACGAAUUUGACGAAAAAUUGAGAUUUCAACGAUAACUACGAACUUGAAAGUUUGGAGAGAUUCGUAAAUACAACAGGUCACAUUUAUAUAAAUUUAUGGAAAUUAUAAAAAUUUAUGAAAAACCGCGAUGACGAAUUAGAAGCGAAUACUUUUUUCUUAUGUGAAAUCGAAUAUUAGAUGCAUGGAUUGAUCUCUCAAAAUCUCCGAAAAUUGGAAAAAUCACGCUGUAUUAUUUAUUAUCGGCACGAUUUUCAUGCAAGUGCGCUUUUGAAUAUCUUGUUCACGCCAUGAAUCACGCCAUUACAUAUCCACGAACGAAUUUGUACGAAAUACAAAUGAAAAAAAAA